rnacentral:rRNA from 1 species
AUUGAACGCUGGCGGCAGGCCUAACACAUGCAAGUCGAACGGUAGCACAGAGAGCUUGCUCUCGGGUGACGAGUGGCGGACGGGUGAGUAAUGUCUGGGAAACUGCCCGAUGGAGGGGGAUAACUACUGGAAACGGUAGCUAAUACCGCAUAACGUCGCAAGACCAGAGUGGGGGACCUUCGGGCCUCACACCAUCGGAUGUGCCCAGAUGGGAUUAGCUAGUAGGUGGGGUAAUGGCUCACCUAGGCGACGAUCCCUAGCUGGUCUGAGAGGAUGACCAGCCACACUGGAACUGAGACACGGUCCAGACUCCUACGGGAGGCAGCAGUGGGGAAUAUUGCACAAUGGGCGCAAGCCUGAUGCAGCCAUGCCGCAUGUAUGAAGAAGGCCUUCGGGUUGUAAAGUACUUUCAGCGGGGAGGAAGGCGGUGAAGUUAAUAGCUUCACCGAUUGACGUUACCCGCAGAAGAAGCACCGGCUAACUCCGUGCCAGCCGCCGCAGUAAAAC